AAGCACUAGGCCUGUCCUUACAGUGGGAAAGGCAUCCUUUUAUUUCAGAAGCAUUGGUACAAAACCAAUCCUCAAACCUCAACAACCAUGGGAAGAAACACAGUUCUACAUGUUUGAUACAAAAUACAUUAAAAGAAUAUAAUAUAAAUUCAGCUUUGUAAUCACAACGGAAAUAAAAAAAUCAUAUAUCAUUUUUUUGUUUUAUAAGACUCAACUGUUGCAGGUCAAUUGUAAAAAUGUUUUUCUUUCUUCCCUCCACCCAACCCCCUCUCUCUCUCCAACGGUUUGGCAAAAUUAAAGGGGCAACACACUGGCUGGUUAGAGGGGAAAAGAAACACCAAUAAAUAAACAACUGUAAAAACUCAAUCUAAAGUCACACAUGAAAGUUAUCAUUUCAAAUAAAUGUAGAAACACCGCAGCAAAAGUCAAACCAAACAUAGCACCAAAAAUGCUCAGUUGCUCUGAUAUCUGUGUGUGUCCUUUAACCACUGUGUCUGAGAGUGCAGUUAACACUGAAACACACAAGGGCUGCAGAUCCCCCCUAGCCCUCUAUGCAGACAUUGGCAGUGGAAAAAGAUUUUAGUUAGACAGGAAAACUUGCAGCUCCCCAAACACAUCUUCCUCUCCUUCCACAUGAGGAAAAAAUAAAAAAGAACAGAAUAUUAAAACAAAGGCUAACUUGAACAAUUCUUGGAAUACAGAAAUGCUAGGAAACAUUUAUCUUAAAUGAUAAGCACGCACUCACAUUAGUCAUAUACAUCAAGAAGCAUCUAACAAUUCAAUUUGAUUUCUUUGCUUCAUCUGUUUAUUCUGUGUUGAUAAAGUCAAUCAUAAAAUUGGAGCAGAAACAGUUGCUCUGUGUUGCUCAAUAACUAAUGGGAACAAUCAAUCAGUUUUUAAUAUCUUGAUUAUUAAAUAAUUUUGAACCAAUUAAUUUAAACUUGUAACUUUGAAUGGAUGAAUUUUUUGAAACAGCUACCUGAAUCUCUUUCCAAUGUUAUUUUGGGAUAUUACCACAAUUAGAUAUUUGGCAUUCUAAACAACAUCUAACUAAAAAUGUAAGCAUAAAAACAACUCAUGACAGAUUCUGGUUACAUUUCGUUAAUACAGUGCAUUCUGCUAUUUCCAAUUGCCAGUAUGUACUGAAGUUCUUAUGUUUGUUAAAGGCCUUAUAUAACAUCUGAUGUAGAUAUCAAACAAAGAUAAAAUGGCAACAACAAAGCCCAAAAAACUGAAUCUAAGAAAUAAAUGGCAUCUUGGGACCACAGCAUAAUAACCAUAUCUUGUUGCCAAUUGUUAUAAGAAAAAGAAGCUACAAGCUGUACCUUAGUUCAUGAUAAAACUUCCAGAAUGUCAGCCAUUUCCUUCCUCACUCAAUAUAGAACUUAUUUUUGAGUGUUGGAAGUGGUCGGCCAGAAGACUGUCUGAUCUCACAGCCAAUCUCAACCUCCAUCAAUCUGUGAUUUUCCUUUGAACGGUUCAUCAUAAAAGACACAUUCAAACAAUCCCCUUCACUGAUGCGAUCAGGAGGGUGCAAAAGGAAAACCUGCUGGCCCCAAUGUGUGCCAUCAUCUACGCUAGGUGCAGUUGUCAAUUCAACCUCUUGCUGGGCCAGAUCAUCCUUUCUUCCUCGAAAAUGAACAUCAAACCAUCCACCAAAUCCGCAGAGUCUAGUGUUUUCCAUAGUGAUUGAUGAUGAAAAGUUUGAUCUGACCUCAAGGACAUCAUUAACAGUAGCCGUUAAACAAUCAAUUUCCUUGAUGAUGGCAGCUAUCCCUAUAACUUGAUGUGGAUGAAGGUUUUGCCACAUUGCUGUCUAUAGGAAAUUCAUAUCAAGUCAUCUAAAAUGCAUUCCAAACCGAAAGCACAAGUAUCAUUUCACAUACACUCACAUGGAAACAAGUAGAGUAGCAACAACCUUCUUUAUUCUUUUAGAUUCAUUCACACAAUACCUCAAUAAGAAGAAUUGAUAUCAUCACAAUAUCAGACACAAUAAAGAAGCAUUGCAUGGCUGAUAAAAGCUUAAGAUGAUAUAGAUUCAAAAAUAAUUCGAUGAAGCACAAAAUGACCGAACUGAUAAUUCACUAUUGCACCUACGGUUCACCUAAGCUCCCCUAUAAUCCGAAACUAUAAAAGAGACAAGUGCUUAGAUCCAAAUUUAACCACAGGAUUAACUACAAGAGGCCUAUGCUCUAGAAGCUAGAAGUAAAAUGCCAAAUGUUAUAGCUAGGCCAUGUAGCCAACCAUCACAGGAAACGCAGAAACACCCAUCAAACUGGCAGAUUAACACUUAGGGAAUGGGGACUAGAGGGUUGCCUUAUUUCCUUGUCCUUUUUUUGGUUUGCAUGUGUAAGUCAGUAUGUGUGGCUGGAAAGUUUUCCCUCAGCCUACCACAGGGCAGCUAGCCCUCUACCCCAAAAAGCAUGGCUUUUAUAGAUCAAGAAACAUGCUAUUUGGACUAUAGCUCCACUAGCAAGAUUUAUCAUAGAUUUAGCUAUCUAGCAUUACACAACUACAUACAUUUCCCCAUAUUUAAAAUUUUGAACAGCACCAACAUUAAUAAAUAAAUAAAUAAGAGAUCAAUUCUCAACAUAUAAACUUCAUAUUCCAACUCUAGAGUAACAAGUUUGAAACACUGAAGUAGGAUUUGGGUAUUUACAGGAUGGAGGCUACUUGUUGUGACGCUAACUAUCUGAACCCACAACCACUUGCCAAAAAAAGAAAUAUGACUAAAACCCAGAACUAACCUGCAGAUAAUAUUUUCUUUGCUCUUCAUUGAAAGGCUUAGUUAACGCAUUCAUAUCAACACCAUAGUAAGUUUUGGUGUCUUCCACAAAAUUAUACCAAUCAUCCAUUGCUCCAUCAUAAUCACCCUUUUUUUGAUCUACCAAUCCAGACCUAAUAGGUGCCAUCCACAUGCGGGCAUGGCUUGGAUACAUGACUCCACUUGGUUUGAGCCAGCGGUCACGAGCACAUAUCACUGAAUCAAACAUAGAUUCACGGAGAAGGAAGUAACCCAUCCAUUCUGAGAUGAUUACAUCAACUUUCUCUGGCAAAGUAACAUCCUCCAUAGAACCCUCAAUCACUUCGACCACAUCUUGGAGAUUAUUUUCUUUGACUAGAGUCCGGGCAUGCUCUGCCAUCUUAGUUGCUUCCACUGCAUAGACUUUACUUGCACCUGCUUGCGCUGACCAUAUCGCAAGAAUACCGCUCCCUGUCCCUACAUCCAACACCACCUUUCCAUGAAAGUGGUGCUUGUUUUGAAAAAUGGCGUUAUAAUAAGCGUCCAUGCGGACUCGAUCGGAAAGCAUCUCUUUCUGGUGAUAGAGAAAAGCGUAGGUGCAGAAAUAUUGAGCGAAAUCGACGUCCUUAUCGACGAGGGCGGCUCCUCCAUUGCUACUGGAAGCACGGUCGCCGUUGUGGUGGCUGCCCAUAGGUAUCGACUCCUCUCCGGCCGGCGUCUUUCCAGAUAAGCGAGAAGGGGUUUAGGGCAACGCCGCCAUAUGUCCUCGUGCUUUCGGUUUUGGAAGCAAGAUUUCCA
rnacentral:misc_RNA from 1 species